CUUUGAGUAACUGUCUCAUUUUUAUAUUAUUCAAGCUUAUAAACAAGAAUGGCAUAGUAUUAGUAAGCUAAGUAUUCCUGUGAGGGACUGCCUAGAGCUAAAGUACAGGAGAAGUGAGGCAGGGCUGAGGCAGUGGUUAUUACGUAGGGAACGUUUGAUUGAUUCCCGGCUGCCCAGGCGAUUGACAUCCAUGCGAUCAUUCAUUUGUACAAUACACUGACUAUGCUAUGCUACCAAACAUGUCUAAAAGGAGCAGUCAUAGUAUAUGUCAUAAAACAAGCUAGUAAAUU